rnacentral:lncRNA from 1 species
UGUUUUUUUUGGGGGGCUUGCUACAUGACAGUCAUGGCUGACUGUAAACCAAGUGAGGAAGAGAAGACUGAAUUGAGGAGAAAGCUCCAGGUCUGGUUUCCUGACCUCCAAAUGCCUGACUAUAAACCAAGUGAGGAAGAGAAAGCUAAAUUCAUAAGAAAGCUUCAGUCUGGUUUCCUGACCGGACAGAAGAACACCUGACAGCACCCAAACC